rnacentral:tRNA from 2 species
GUCCCUAUCGUCUAGACGGCCCAGGACAACGGCCUUUCACGCCGUCAACGCCGGUUCGAAUCCGGCUGGGGACGCCA